UAAAAAAUGACCUGCGAGGGUCAGGGCUCACUGUUGCCUGAAAAAGGGUAA
rfam:Trabulsiella guamensis ATCC 49490 GTGT.assembly.126, whole genome shotgun sequence.